rnacentral:sRNA from 1 species
AAGUUGAUUGUUAUGCGUUUGAAACAAAUGAUUCAAAGUUAGUCUCGAUUAUACAGUUUCCUGAAAAAUGAUCCGCUUUCUCAAAUCUACUAAACGACUAGAUUUUAACCUGCGGUAUACCGCGGUACGAUUUAUUUUUUAAAAGUAAUAUAUAUUAAAACUUGCAAAUUUUAUUUUUAUA